rnacentral:rRNA from 1 species
UGGGGAAUUGUUCGCAAUGGGCGCAAGCCUGACGACGCAACGCCGCGUGGAGGAUGAAGAUCUUCGGGUCGUAAACUCCUGUCGAGCGGGACGAACACUUUCCGGGUGAACAAUCCGGAAGGCUGACGGUACCGCUAAAGGAAGCCCCGGCUAACUCCGUGCCAGCAGCCGCGGUAAUACGGGGGGGGCAAGCGUUGUUCGGAAUUACUGGGCGUAAAGGGCUCGUAGGCGGCCAACUAAGUCGGACGUGAAAUCCCCAGGCUCAACCUGGGAACUGCGUCCGAUACUGGAUGGCUUGAAUCCGGGAGAGGGAUGCAGAAUUCCAGGUGUAGCGGUGAAAUGCGUAGAUAUCUGGAGGAAUACCGGUGGCGAAGGCGGCAUCCUGGACCGGCAUUGACGCUGAGGAGCGAAAGCCAGGGGAGCAAACGGGAUUAGAUACCCCGGUAGUCCUGGCCCUAAACGAUGAAUGCUUGGUGUAACGGGUAUCGAUCCCUGUUGUGCCGAAGCUAACGCAUUAA